AUGGCUCAGAAUCAGCUGGCGGCGUGCCUCAGACAUGCAAGUCGAACGAUUAAAGCUCUCUUCGGAGAGUGUAUAGAGUGGCGCACGGGUGAGUAACACGUAAGUAAUCUACCCUCGAGUGGGGAAUAACAACCGGAAACGGUUGCUAAUACCGCAUAAUGCAGCGGCACCGCAAGGUGACAGUUGUUAAAGAUUUAUCGCUUGAGGAGGAGCUUGCGGCAGAUUAGCUAGUUGGUAGGGUAACGGCUUACCAAGGCUACGAUCUGUAACCGGUCUAAGAGGACGGUCGGUCACACUGACACUGAAUAACGGGUCAGACUCCUACGGGAGGCAGCAGUCGGAAUUUUGGGCAAUGGGCGAAAGCCUGACCCAGCAACGCCGCGUGAAGGAUGAAGUAUUUCGGUAUGUAAACUUCGAAAGAAUAGGAAGAAUUAAUGACGGUACUAUUUAUAAGGUCCGGCUAACUACGUG
rnacentral:rRNA from 1 species